rnacentral:rRNA from 1 species
AGUAACGCGUGAGCAACCUGCCUAUGACAGUGGGAUAGCCUCGGGAAACCGGGAUUAAUACCGCAUGAUAUCGUAGAAACACAUGUUUAACGGUCAAAGAUUUAUCGGUCAUAGAUGGGCUCGCGUCUGAUUAGCUAGUUGGUGAGAUAACAGCCCACCAAGGCGACGAUCAGUAGCCGGUCUGAGAGGAUGAACGGCCACAUUGGAACUGAGACACGGUCCAA